rnacentral:rRNA from 1 species
GGAGAAAAGCAGGGGAUCGCAAGACCUUGCGCUUUUGGAGCGGCCGAUGUCUGAUUAGCUAGUUGGUAGGGUAAAGGCUUACCAAGGCAACGAUCAGUAGUUGGUCUGAGAGGACGACCAGCCACACUGGGACUGAGACACGGCCCAGACUCCUACGGGAGGCAGCAGUGGGGAAUUUUGGACAAUGGGCGAAAGCCUGAUCCAGCCAUGCCGCGUGAGUGAAGAAGGCCUUCGGGUUGUAAAGCUCUUUCAGUCGAGAAGAAAAAAUUGCGACUAAUAAUCGCAAUUCAUGACGGUAUCGACAGAAGAAGCACCGGCUAACUACGUGCCAGCAGCUGCGGUAAUACGUAGGGUGCAAGCGUUAAUCGGAAUUACUGGGCGUAAAGGGUGCGCAGGCGGCCUUGUAAGUCAGAUGUGAAAUCCCCGGGCUUAACCUGGGAAUUGCGUUUGAAACUACAAAGCUAGA